GACGAACGCUGGCGGCGUGCUUAACACAUGCAAGUCGAACGGUGAACCUCUUCGGAGGGGAUCAGUGGCGAACGGGUGAGUAACACGUGGGCAGCCUGCCCCCGGCUCUGGGAUAACUCCAAGAAAUUGGGGCUAAUACCGGAUGUUCACCGCUUCCCGCAUGGGUGGUGGUGGAAAGGGUUUCCGGCUGGGGAUGGGCCCGCGGCCUAUCAGCUUGUUGGUGGGGUAGUGGCCUACCAAGGCGACGACGGGUAGCCGGCCUGAGAGGGUGACCGGCCACACUGGGACUGAGACACGGCCCAGACUCCUACGGGAGGCAGCAGUGGGGAAUAUUGCGCAAUGGGCGGAAGCCUGACGCAGCGACGCCGCGUGGGGGAUGACGGCCUUCGGGUUGUAAACCUCUUUCAGCAGGGACGAAGCGCAAGUGACGGUACCUGCAGAAGAAGCACCGGCCAACUACGUG
rnacentral:rRNA from 1 species